AUUUUUUAAUUUUUUUAGAAAAUGAUUAAGCUAGUUCGUAGUCAACUCAGCAACCAUUUCCCCAGCAACGGCGCCAAAAAUGCUUGUUGACACUUGCUAACACCACUUGAAUACUAGGUUGUCAUCCCCAGCAUGGCACUAGAGUGUACUAUGGUAUUUAUACACACAGAUAAAUCCGCAAGCGCAGAGAUACCGUUGUAGCUUUUACCCGGUUAAAGGUUUU
rnacentral:lncRNA from 1 species